rnacentral:misc_RNA from 1 species
GUGAAGAACGUAGCGAAAUGCGAUACGUAGUGUGAAUUGCAGAAUUCAGUGAAUCAUCGAAUCUUUGAACGCACAUUGCACCUCUCGGUAUUCCGGGAGGUAUGCCUGUUCGAGCGUCAUUUGUACCCUCAAGCUCUGCUUGGUGUUGGGUGUUUGUUCCGCCUCUGUGUGUGAACUCGCCUCAAAACAAUUGGCAGCCGGCGUACUUGUUUCGGAGCGCAGCACAUUUUGCGAUCCAGAUCAACGUACAGCGGCAUCCAAGAAGCCUUAUUUAACGCUCUUGACCUCGGAUCAGGUAGGGAUACCCGCUGAACUUAAGCAUAUCAAUAAGCGGAGGA